AAAGAAUAUUCUUGGACCAUUCUAUAACAGAUUGCUUAGGAAUCAUCCUUAUCCCUCACCUGGUCUCAUUUAGUAGCUAUGAUACCUUUCAAAGUCUAUAUCCUCAAUCUCAAUUUAGCUUUAAAUUCCUCACCUGUUUUUUUGUUUUUUUUUUUAACUCUCUACUACACAUACCUAUUUGGAUAUCUUCCAGGUAUCACAAACUCAACAUAUCUAAAAUAGAAUUCACACCUUUCCUUUUCAGUGCCCUCUCCUUUUGUCCCCAAUCACACACAUGCACAAGGACAUCUGUUCCUGCAUUUGUAAGAAUAGUCUAGCCUUAUUCUGUAGCAACAACGAGCACCAGAAUCUCAAAAACAUGACAUAUAAAGUUUGUUUCUAGUUCUUAUAAAGGUCCUCUCUUGAUUGGGCAACAAUCCAAAGCAGCUGUCCUUCAGGAGGUGACUCAGUCUUCCCAGCUGCCUUGACUUCUGUGGCUUUCCAUCUCAACAUAAGGUCUCCCUCUCUCCUGCCAAAGAGGAAGCAAAAGACAAGAAAUUGGCACAGUGUCUCCUAGGGCUUCAUCUCAGGAGGAGCAUGCAUCAUUUCCAUUCACCCUUCAUCAGCCAGAGAUGUUUCUGUGGUUCCUCCCGACUGAAAAGUUGCCUCAGAUCUUCCAUUAGACUCCAAACUUCUAAAGAAUAUAUCUUCUGAAGAUCUUUGUCAACUGCAUUUUCAUGGGACCAUUCAACAUGUUCCUCCAUCUUCUGCAUGAUCUGGAAAUUGCAGCUGGCUGCAAUGGCUUGAUAAGACUCAGAUUCAUUCCAUUCAAAAAAGAUCCUAAUGUUGAGGUUCUCUAAAGUAGCUGCACACCAUCCAGCUUUUAUUGUUCUCGUGUCCUCCAUCCAAGCAUCUAGAUUUUGCCAAGUCCCAUCUUGACUCCAACACAAGCAGAAACCAGACCCUUGGACAGCCUUCUGAAGAGCUGGAAUGUCAGAUGUAAUGCAACUUUUCCCUUUUCUCCUGAAGGCCUCAGAAACCUUUAUAGAAAUUCCUGAAUAAAGUUCAUCUGAAAUCUUCUAUAAUUAGGUCCAUGUCCUAUGUGAUACCAAUCAAUCAUAGUUGGUCUCAUUGGACUAGGAAUAGGAAAAACACCUCCAUCCCUAAAUCCAGUAAGGGUACUAGCAGACUGAGACACUUCCAAGGUCAGAGGCCUGAGAUGACUGGAUAAUCAGCUGUCAUGCACUGGGUGCCGACUGGAAAAUGUUUGUCACGAAUACCUUCACUGAGGCUCUGUCUGGACCAGCUCUGACAGCAAAAGGAAAUUUUCUUCGUAGGAAAUAUCUCAAACUCUUUCCCCAGGGCAAUUCAACAAAGCAGAAGCUUAUCGGGAGUACAAAGCAUACUUUAUAGUUAAGUUCUGACUAUAGGCAUAAAUUGAAGUAGUUUAUGAACUAAAAGGAUACUUCAUCAGUUAAAGGUUUCCAUUUUUAUCUUUUAUUAAUUGUAGAGAUAAAGCACUCACUUAGGAAAUGAUCUGAUGUGAAAUAUUUUUAACAAGUCUAAAAAGAUGUCUUAUGUAACUAAAAUGACUUUGGGUUUCAGAGAUAUGGAAGCUUCGCCUCAUAUUCUGCUCCCUUAAACCCUCUAAAGUAUGUAGGAGUCUCAUAUAGCCGAUCAAUAGAAACUGAAAAUAUUUCUGAGCUUUUUUUUUUCCAGAAAGUCAAGUGCAUUUUCCAUCAACAAUGUUUUUUUAGUGUUUCAAUAUUACUCUAUAUCUAAGAUAGAGUGGAAAGCAUAGAUCACCAUCUCCAUAGCUUAUGUAUACAUGAUUACUAAUGGACACUCCCAAGUGGAUCCAGUCUGGAACCCCUCCCCUCCACUUUCCUGUAUGGAUUAGCUGGAGGGCUUGAGAUUUCACAGCUACACAGAGACCCAAGUCAGAUAGACCAUCAUAAAGCUAAGGGAUCCCCUCUUGGAGAAGUAUCAGAUCAGAACGCAGAAUGUAGUCCAAACCCAGGCUGCUUGACUGAAAGGGAUCUGGCAAUAAGAAAAAGUCUAAACAAGUUAAUGACCAAGAGGAGCUGAGGAGAUGGAAGAUUGAGUAAAAGGAACUGAAUUGAAAACAGGAACUGAAAGAGCAGCUGGUCAUUGAAUCUGUAUAUCCAACAUGUUACUGCCACUUUAGACAGGAUACCUGAAUGACUAACUCCAAAGUGGACCAAAAAAACAGAUUGGGGGUUUGGAUUGGGAUUGUUUUGUUUUGUUUUCAUCAUGAUAAUUCUAAUUUGCUCAAGUUUUAUGAUAUUUUCACUUUCUAUCCCAGAAGAAUGGGGGGAAGCUGUGAUAUAUUUUUAGCUAAAAUUUUUGGAUAUUAUUUUUUGAGAACUAAUGGCAUAACUUAUUUUACCCCUUCUGUAGGGUUCUAAAGAAAGAAACUUCUUAUUGAGGAAAAUCAAUAUGCUACUUCUUUGUAUAGCGAGAAGAUCUGAGAAAAAUAUUUAAAUGGUCUAAUUUACAUCUUGAUGGAAUGGACUUUAGGAGGGAUUAUCAAGUAAAGGAAUGUGACCCACAUUGAGGACACUCUAAAAAUGUAGCACCAAGAUGCAAAAUAUAGCAUGAAUGUUACAUGGAAGCUGGGAGUUUAUGUUCAAGGUUAACAAAUAUUUGUCUUUGGGGAUUCACAGAGAUCUUAGAGAGUACAUUGUAUUUCUCUUAGCAAGUAGGUCUAUACUUCAGUCAACCUGGAGGCAGCAUUCUCCAUAUAAUAAUUGUCUCCUAAUAAUUGUUGUGGUUUAGAUAUGAAGUCUUCUUCCAAAGCUCAUAUGAGACAAUGCAAGAAUUUUCAGAGGUAAAGUGAUUAUAUUAUGAGAGUUGUAAACUAACUAGGUGAUAACUAUAGGCUGGUAGGGUGUGGCUGGAGAGAUAGGUUAAUCUGGAUGUGCCUUUAGGGCAUAUAUUUUAUCAUUGGGGAUCAAAGCUUUCUCUCUGCUUUCUGAAUGCCUUAUCCUGAGCUGCUUUCCUACUCUACACACUUCCUCCCUGAUGUUCUGCCUCCACUUAGGCCCAGAGCUAUGGAGUUGACCAUCUUAUGCAAUGAGACCUCUAAGAUUGUGAGCCCAAAAUUAUCAUUUUCUCCUCUACAAUGUUCUUGUCAAGUCUUUUGGUCACAGUGUUGAAAAGCUGACUAAAAUAAUAAUAUUUUAAUAUGUGUGUUAAAAAAUUGAUAAACAAAUCAAACUAGGUUUUCUUGACAGUCCUAGGAAAUAACCCAAUGAAGCAGAAGUUUCCAAUAUCAGAGUGGCAAAGUCCAAGCAAGUAGAGAAUGAUGAAGUAUAGCUGUCACAACUGCAGCACAUAUAAACCCUAAAUCCUCCUCCUUCAUGAUGUGGUGUCAAGCCAGGCAGAGUUUUUUUUGUUUUGUUUUGUUUUAUAAAGAGAAAAUAAAACACAAAACUCUGUCCAUAGUUCAAGAAACAAGUCACUCAAAGCAGAUUUUGUUAGUUAAGGAAGAAUUGUUUGAGUAGUAUUGUUCCCAUCAAGACGGGCUUGGGAGAAGAGGAAUUUAGUUCCUAAAGGCGGCCUUCAUUUUACAUAGAGGCUUUGGUCAGGGAGAGAACGGUGCCAAAAUGUCGCCAUUUGUAUUUUUUGCUCAUAGGGCAAGUGGAAUCUUGAACCUUUAAACCUCCUCCUACCAAAUAUAUAUAUAUCUCCUUGAUGCUAUUGCAGCCCAAGAUUGUGGGCUCCUAAUCUCUCAUGAGCUCCAUUCCAUAGUACUCAGUGAUGCAACCAUACAGAAGUAGAUACUUUCCACGAGAGUGUUAUCUUUUUGAAACAUGGUAGAUAAAAAGGGAACUUUGAAGCAAUAAUGACCCCAAAUCAAUCCAAUCCUGACACAUCAUAAUACUGGGAUUUAAUCUCCCUUUGUAGUAUGACUGGGGCAAUAAUGUAAAAAUAUGUGAGUAGUGAUAGGAUUGGAAAUUCAAAAGUAUUUUAGUCAGUUUUUUCACUGCUGUGAUUAAAAGACUUGACAAGAACAAUUUUAAGGAGAAAAAAAUUAUGUGGGGGCUCACGGUUUCAGAGGUCUCAAUCCAUAGACAGCAGCUUCCAUGCCUUGAGGCUUGAGGUGAGGCAUAACAUCAUGGUGGAAGAGUGUGAUGGAAGGAAGUGGGCAUGAUAAUCAGAAAGGAGAGAGAGAGAGACUCCACUCACUUGAUACAAAAUAGAUACCCUAAAAGCAUGCCCAGGUAACCCACCUCCUCCAGCCACACCCUACCCACCUUCAAUUACCACUCAGUUAAUCCCAUCAGGGGAUUAUUCCAUUGAUUAGGUUAAGACUCUCAUAAUCAGAUCAUUUCUCUUCUAAAUUUCCUCUCAUUGUCUCAUACACAAAAUUUUGGGAACACCUCAUAUCCAAACCAUAACAAAGGCAAAUGUGUUUUAAUUUUCUUCCUCUUAGGAAAAUGUCAUUAGUUUAUGAAAAAGGAGAUCCUGGAAAAGGGAAAUUUCCAUCCUAAAUUACUAAUUUAAAAUAUGAUGAAUGACAAAAGCUUGAGUCAUUGAUGUAAUUCCCCAAAUUCUGUUGAACCUAAUAUACUUAUAACUGAGGACCAAUUUUACAUAAAUUCAGAGCAUGGCCUACCACAUAUUCCUCAAAAUCUACUUCUUUUCUAAUUUUUAAUGACUUAAGUUUUUACAUAAAUUUUAUUUAUUCAUCAGAAAAAAAGAAACUGUUACUGACUUUCACUUUUCCACAAUUUAUGCUUUUUACUAGCCCUACUAUAGAUUUAGAGAAAAAAGAAAAAGAAAGUCUCAACUGUCACCCAAAAGCAGAGUUAGCAAAAUUCCUACUCCUUUGAAUGAUUUAGCCCAGUUUACAUUUAAAAAUACUUCCUAAACUUUGUGAGGAAUAAUUUCCACUCCCACCCACAUGAUUAUGUGAACCUUUGCCUAAGUUUUUCUACAAAACAUGCCCUUGGCUAAAUAUUACAUAAGGAUUUCUUUCUUUCUUUUUUUUUCCUUUUAGUGAGUCUUCUACUGACUGCUUUUACCUUAGAGAUUCUGUUCAAUAUUUCUGAGUCACAAUAUGUAGACCCUUGGAAAUUUUUGUCUUUUUCUUUCUUUCUUUCUUUCAUUAUUUAUGAGGUGUCCUUUGCCUAUUGUAUAAUCUCAUUUUUAAAUUUACCUUCAGAGUUAGAAGAAAAAUAUGGGCUCAGGUGCUUAAGUGAUGCUGAGCAAUUUCAAAAAAUAAAAAUACAUUGAUAAACCGUUGUAUUAGGAAAUUAAAAUGUGUUCAUUAAGGUCUAAAAUAAAGAAAAAAUGCUUUCUAGACAAAUAAAUUGAGAAUACAUUCUAAAGCACUGAGAAAAUAUAACGUAUACUUUUACAACAUAUCAUAAGAAAACAUAGAAAAUCCCCAAAAUAUGAUAUACCUUUUAAACAAAUUCAGAAAUAUUUACUAAUUAGUAGUUGAUUAUUUGAAGGCCUCUGGGCUUCAUCGAAGCAAAACAAUGUUUUCUCCCUGCACACCAACUUAUUCUCUCACACAGUUGAUUUAAUUUUUAAUAGAUAAAGACUUCCAAUGUGGCAAUCUACAGCAGUCCACAUUAGAAAGAUUUUUACUCUCUUUCUUACUUGCAGAAUUUUCUUCUUGCCCAAUAGAUGAUAUUCUGAGAAUAUCCCCCUUCCUACUUAAGCUAUUAAUUAGCUUUUUUGUCCUGCACUUAAAAAAUAUAAAGAACAAUAUUCAAUAGAUUACCCAUUUCCUCAAAUUAAAGUUUAACAAUAAAAUAACAAGUCCCAUUGCACAUGAAUAAUAAAAUAUUUUUCCAAAUUAAAAAAAAAUAUUCCAAAGAGAAGGACAUAACAAUGCAAAGGUUAAUAGUUAAUUUUUAGAAUAAGUACCCCAAUUUUCUUUCCUCUAAGUUGAACUCUGAUGCACGCUCAUUCAACCUGUGUCUUCAAAUCCCUCAGUGGAAAUUAGCUCCAGUUGCCCAUUUUAGUAAGUGGCUAUAUUAUAGGACCCUUCUUCAAUCCCAUAGCUGUGUUCUUCUGGUGAUCUCUUCCCAAAUAACUGCUUAGUCAAAUUCUUGUCUUAGAGUAAGUUUCCUGGUGAAUCCAAAUAGAGACUUGGUCUCAAUAUUUGUAUAUUCCAUACUACAUUUUCCCAUCUCUUUCUUCCUCAAAAAUAAUCCGUUGUACUUUAACAUGCUCAGAACCCCAGAACAGCUCAUUCUCUUGUCCCAUAUUCUACCUAUAACCAAUACUUGUCCCUCCUUUCUUCAUGCUUUAAGACUCUGAUCUUUAACAAUAAAUUGAAAAAAUAAAAUAAAUUAGAACACAGUA